rnacentral:rRNA from 1 species
GACGAACGCUGGCGGCGUGCUUAACACAUGCAAGUCGAGCGGUAAAGGCCCUUUCGGGGGUACACGAGCGGCGAACGGGUGAGUAACACGUGGGUGACCUGCCCUCAGCUCUGGGAUAAGCCUGGGAAACUGGGUCUAAUACUGGAUAUGACUCCACGGUGCAUGUCGUGGGGUGGAAAGCCUUGUGCGGCUGAGGAUGGGCCCGCGGCCUAUCAGCUUGUUGGUGGGGGAUGGCCUACCAAGGCGACGACGGGUAGCCGGCCUGAGAGGGCGACCGGCCACACUGGGACUGAGACACGGCCCAGACUCCUACGGGAGGCAGCAGGUGGGGAAUCUUGCGCAAUGGGCGAAAGCCUGACGCAGCGACGCCGCGC